AGCAUUGUGGCUUAGUAGAUAGAGCAUCAGCCUGGGAGUUAGAAGGACCUGGGUUUUAAUCCCAGCUCUGUCA
rnacentral:tRNA from 1 species